UCGAGCGGUUAGAGAGAAGCUUGCUUCUCUUGAGAGCGGCGGACGGGUGAGUAACACGUGGGCAACCUGCCCUGCAGACUGGGAUAACUUCGGGAAACCGGAGCUAAUACCGGAUAACACCGAAAACCGCAUGGUUUUCGGUUGAAAGGCGGCUUUUAGCUGUCACUGCAGGAUGGGCCCGCGGCGCAUUAGCUAGUUGGUGAGGUAACGGCUCACCAAGGCGACGAUGCGUAGCCGACCUGAGAGGGUGAUCCCCCACACUGGUACUGAGACACGGCCCAGACUCCUACGGGAGGCAGCAGUAGGGAAUCUUCCGCAAUGGACGAAAGUCUGACGGAGCAACGCCGCGUGAGCGAAGAAGGUCUUCGGAUCGUAAAGCUCUGUUGUCAGGGAAGAACAAGUGCCGUUCGAACAGGGCGGUACCUUGACGGUACCCGACGAGGAAGCCACGGCUAACUACGUGCCAGCAGCCGCGGUAAU
rnacentral:rRNA from 1 species